ACUAGGAAACUAUUUCCGACUUGCCAACUUGUUGUAGUUAUACACGUGCCGCGUUCGACGAAAUUCCAAGUCGGAAAUGUCCGAGUUUCGUAGAUCCAACUAGCAUUUGAACGAGGCAUGAGCCCCCACAAACAAACCACAUCAUCUGCGUCAUUCCCCGCCACCCUGGCCGCCCUAGAUGUCAGCCAUUUUACAUAGCAAUCGCGACUGAAUUCGUCCCAAAAAAGUAGCUAGCAAUCAGGCCUAAAUACAAAUUUAUAUUUACAGCUGACAACCGCCUGAAGUGCAAAAAUGGAAACCGAAGGCCAAGUUGACUUCAGCACAGACGAGUUUCCGGAGGGCUCCAAGAUAAACGCAAGCAAAAACCAGCAGGAUGACGGCAAGAUGUUCAUCGGUGGGCUCAGUUGGGACACCAGCAAAACGGACCUCAUGGAUUACCUGUCCAAGUUUGGAGAGGUUCUAGACUGCACCAUCAAAACAGACCUGAUGACGGGCCGGUCCCGGGGCUUUGGCUUUGUCCUCUUCAAAGACGCAGAGAGCGUAGACAGGGUUUUGGAGCUGAAGGAGCACAAGCUGGACGGGAAGCUGAUCGACCCAAAGAGGGCCAAAGCCAUGAAGGGAAAAGAGCCACCCAAGAAGGUGUUUGUCGGAGGCCUCAGCCCAGACACCCCGGAGGAGGAGAUCAGGGAAUACUUUGGAGCUUUUGGAGAUAUUGACAGCGUCGAGCUUCCCAUGGAUACCAAAACCAAUGAGCGGCGCGGUUUCUGCUUCGUGACCUACUGUGAGGAGAUCCCUGUCCAGAAGUUGUUGGAGUGCAGAUACCACCAAGUCGGGGGCGGAAAGUGUGAAAUCAAAGUGGCCCAACCCAAAGAAGUGUACAGACAGCAGCAACAACACAGAGGAGAGAGGGGGGGCUACAGUGGAGGCGGAGGAUACAGGGGCCGGGGACGAGGAGGUCAGAGUAGCUACAACCAGGGUUACAAUGGCUACUAUAGCCAGAACUAUGGUAGCUACGGCAACGGAUACAACCAGGGAUACAAUGGCUACACAGGCUAUGACUACUCUGGCUACAACUAUAAUAGUUAUGGUUAUGGACAGGGAUACGACGACUACAAUGGCCAGCAGAGCAGCUAUGGGAAGGCCUCUCGAGAGGUCACAACCCACCAGAACAACUACCAGCCUUACUGAGCUGAUCUAAUCCAACAAGACCUGCUUAGACCUCUGCGGGGACUUCAUUGCAGGCCGUGUGUCACCUGACCACGACAAUCUCUGGGCGUCGCACAUAGCGGGCAGAGAGCACGGCAUGCACAAGAAAACGCUGUCCUGCGAUGGACUGGGCUGGCUGGUGGACUGGAGAAUGACCCUGUACCCAUGUGGCAGCAUUGGGGGAUGAAUCCUAUCGUGUCCUCAGAUCAGCUCAUGUUUUAAACACCAGAAUCCUCUUCCUGAGAUGAAGACAUGCAGCGCUUCUGACUUUGUAAAUAGCGAGGUUGACAUUUUGGGGGGUUCUUGUCCCCCCCACUUCCCUUCAUCUUGUACUGUGCUGAGGUUGUAGGUCUAGGUUUCAUCAUGAUUUAAUGUGUUCUUAUUACCUUGAUUUAACUUAGCCUGUUUUUCUGUUUUAAACUUGGAUUUUUCUGCAGUGUUUUGGAUAAAGGUAUUAUUAAAGAGGGUACAAAAGAGA